rnacentral:sRNA from 1 species
UGGCACCCAACGUGGGGCUCGAACCCACCACCCUGAGAUUAAGAGUCUCAUGCUCUUCCAUUUCACAUGUC